rnacentral:lncRNA from 1 species
AUCAUAAAUUAUUUUUUUCAUAUUCGGUUUGUAUUUUCUUUUCCGCUAAUACUUAGGACAUCAGUUAGGACGUCCUAGAUAAGAUAUUCCUAAGAUAGCUUCGAUGUGCAUGCUGAGACGUGUCGUAAGUCGGUCCUAACUUUAUCCUAACUUCUGUCCUAAGAAAUUCUUAGGACCGAUCUUAGGAAAGUUUCGAUAAACAGGCCCC